ensembl:lncRNA
ACAAAUGAAAUGAAGUACGAGAGUCUGAAAGGAACAGGCUACAUUACACCCACAAUUGAGCUCCAAUUUCCAUACAGUUCUCUACCUGCUUUUUACUGCAGUGGACCUCCUGGAAUACACUUCUAAAAUGCGAUUCUUACCCAUUGUGAACAUGUUGAAAGGUAGAGCGGUAACCGGAAAGUUGCUAGUUCGAUCCCCGUCUUCUCCUAGCAAGUGUCGCAGUGUCCCUGAGGAAGGCACCUCACCCUGACUGCUCGGGACGUGGUUGACACCGCCGUCGGAUGCCGAUUGGCUGUUGGAUGCUGGAGCCCGAUAGUGAUUCUGCUCGAACAAAUCUGCUGCAGCAGCACUGACCACUCGGCUGGCUGCGUGGUUCUUCCCUCUUGCACCAUCCAAUUAAAUCCUCAACGAUCAAAUCACCUGCAUGGAGGCACGAGGCCUGAUAUGAGGCCAGCUGAUGGCCAUAGAGCCUCAUGGAGGCCAGAGGUAAAGGGAGGAACCACCAGGAACUGGGAUAGAGGUGGAGAGGGGAACCUACCUAUCUGGAAUAGGUUCCUGCUCGUCACUCCCCAAGAGAGAGAACCAUCAACAUACAGACAGACAGACAGACAGACAGACAGACAGACAGACAGACAGGGAGACAGGGAGACAGACGGAGAGAGAUGUAGAUGAGAGGGGGAUAAAGAAAUAUGAACAAUGUAACAAUUUAAUUGAGUUUUGCGAUGCACAGCCACAGCUCUCGCUUCAAACAAAAGGAAAUGGCCCUUCUGCAAGAUAUGCUGAAAGUAUGGACUAUAUUUGGAUGUCAAAUUAGUCAGUAAUUUAUAGUCCCAAAUAUGUGCACUGAAUUAAAUCAGAUCUUUAGUAACUAUUUUUAUGUUCCUUUACGUUGAAGGAAAUUAUAUAUAUAAUUCUGAAGCUCGCAUAUAAUAACAAAAAUGGAUAAUUGUCCAUCUUUCAUGUUCAUGCCCAGGCAGUGUGAGAAGAAGAAUUAGCGCUCACACAUUUUAUCGCCAAUGAAAAUAAGAGAAUCCAGUGGAAUGGAACUUCCAUCAUGCCCUCUUUUGGGGUGGUCUAAUUGGGUUGUUUUUUCUUGAGCUUUGCUUGAUUCCAGAACAUUUCUACACUUUCUGGACUCUAGUCUGACAUUGUUUGUAAUGUCAGGCGGCAGAGUGAACCACAGCAUGGAGGAGAAGUAAUUGUAGCCGUUUGCAGGCUCCUGGAGCUCUAUAUCUAUAUAAUAUAAGAUAAUAAUAAUAAUAAUAAUAAUAAUAAUAUUAUAUAAUAUAUAGGUAUUUAUAUAAUAUUAUAUCUACACAGC